CAUCUUCUUUUUCAGAAACGCGUCACAUCCGCUGCGUCUCUUGUAAUUUUAGGGAGUUCAAUCGUUCCUUCGUUUCUGUCUUUUGGAAACCUAAAUCGACGUGUUAACAGAAAAUGGCUGCUAAUCAAGAUUAUACAGAGGAUAUGGCCCAAGGAGACUUCAGCAAUGAAGGUUAUGGUGAUUUUCAAGAGCCGGAAUCGCAGCCGCAAGUGCAGGAAAAUGCUGAAUUAAAUGGUAACGAGGCAAUGGAAGAAACUACUAAUGGCGAUGGACAUGAGGAUUCCUCCUCCCAAGACCCGUUGGGGAAAGAUGAAGAUCGGAAACUCUUCGUUGGCGGUCUCAGCUGGGCUACAACAGACAAGGAAUUACGAGAGCAUUUUGGAAAAUACGGUGAAAUAGAGAGCAUAACGGUAAAAAUGGAUCCCCAGACAGGAAGAUCUAGGGGUUUUGCAUUUUUAGUUUUCAAGUCCGCCGAAAAUUUAGACAAGGUUAUGAAUGCCGGAGAACAUAUAAUUAAUGGCAAACGAGUGGAUCCAAAAAAAGCUAAAGCACGCUCUGGAAAGAUAUUUGUUGGAGGUUUACCUCAAGAUACCACUGAAGAAACUAUUCGUUCAUUUUUUGGAACCUUUGGAAAUAUUGUCGAAAUCGAAAUGCCAUUUGAUCGUGUUAAGAACCAACGGAAAAAUUUCUGCUUUAUAACAUAUGACAAUGAAAAUGUUGUGUUUGAUUUACUGAAGACACCCAAGCAAGUUAUCAAUGGUAAAGAAGUUGAUGUUAAAAAGGCAACGCCCAAACCAGAUUCCUUUGGACCACCAGCAAUGAGAGGUGGAAGAGGCGGUCCUGGUGGAAUGCGUGGUGCACCACGUGGACGAGGGGUAAGUAACAAAAAGAAAUCUUCUGUCAACAGCGAGAUUAAACUAGAAUAUAUAUGUAUGUAUAAAUAUAAUAUUUAUUUUUAGCAUGGGGCGGUUGGGGUGGUCAAGGCGGGUACGCUGCUGGAGGAUAUGGAGCUGGAUAUGCAGGAGGCUACGGAGGCGGCUAUGGUGGAGGCUACGGAUACGGCGAAGGAUAUGGAUACGACUACUACGGAGGCGGAUAUGAUUCGUACGGAGCUUAUGGUGACUACAGUUACGGCGGAUAUGGUUAAGAUUGAUUUUUAAAUGCGGUCAAGGUCAACAGUACAGCGGAGGUAAACAGCGUGGCGCUGGACGCCAGGCACCGAGGCAUCAACCUUAUUAAGAAUGUUAAUCAGUCGAUCCGGUCCUGCAAUAGAAAUGCCAUGUGUGUGUGUGUGUGUGUGUUUUUUUUUUUUUUUUUUUUCUGCUCCCAUUGACAGGACACUGUACAAACAGUUUUAUUGUCUGCACCUCUUUCUCAAUUUGGUAUAAACCUGUCUCAUUUUAUUUGUCACUCGAAACCAUCGAUCAACUUGAUUACAUUCUAAAUCAUUGGAAAAUACUCGGAUUACAUUUUUGUAAAUUGUU